rnacentral:rRNA from 1 species
GGUUAAAAAGCUCGUAGUUGGAUCUCGGCAAGUAGAGGGCGGUAUGCUUCGUAGCAUUACUGCCCUAUUACUUGUAGUUUUGCCAGAGGUUCCUGGGUGCUCUUAAUCGAGUGUCUAGGGAUGCUGGCAGGUUUACUUUGAAAAAAUUAGAGUGCUCAAAGCAGGCUAUUACGCUUGAAUAUUCGUGCAUGGAAUAAUAGAAUAGGAAGUUGUUUCUAUUUUGUUGGUUUUCGGAAAUCGACUUAAUGAUUAAUAGGGACAGUCGGGGGCAUUUGUAUUCAAACGACAGAGGUGAAAUUCUUGGACCGUUUGAAGACAAACUACUGCGAAAGCAUUUGCCAAGAAUGUUUUCAUUAAUCAAGAACGAAAGUUAGAGGUUCGAAGGCGAUUAGAUACCGCCCUAGUUCUAACCAUAAACGAUGCCAGCUAGCGAUCUGAGGACGUUUUUUUUGUAGACUCCUCAGGAAGCUUCCGGGAAACCAAAGCGUGUGGGUUCCGGGGGAAGUAUGGUUGCAAAGCUGAAACUUAAAGGAAUUGACGGAAGGGCACCACCAAGAGUGGAGCCUGCGGCUUAAUUUGACUCACACGGGAAAUCUCCCCA